rnacentral:rRNA from 1 species
UACGGAGGAUGCAAGCGUUAUCCGGAUUUAUUGGGUUUAAAGGGUGCGCAGGCGGGAUGUUAAGUCGGCGGUGAAAUUUUGCAGCUCAACUGUAAAAGUGCCUUCGAAACUGGUUUCCUUGAGUGUAGAUGAAGUAGGCGGAAUUUGUGGUGUAGCGGUGAAAUGCAUAGAUAUCACGAGGAACUCCGAUUGCGCAGGCAGCUUACUAAACUACUACUGACGCUCAGGCACGAAGGCGUGGGGAUCAAACAGGAUUAGAUACCCGGGUA